AUUCUGAUGCCAUCUCCUGGUGAGACCAAAGACUGGACGUGCCCAACAAACACCGAGGAAGGCCCUGCAGCUGAGCCUUCUUGCACCUGUCUUAUGACCCCGAACUCCCCUUGUGCACACAUCAACACUGCUUAGCUUCCAGGAGAUCUCUGCAGAGCUGCUCGGUUGAAGUGACCGAGUUUGUCUCAUCAGCAAACUCCUUCUCUCUCCCAGAAACUGUAAUUCAGACCAUCACAUUGCCCACAGAUUCCGUCUCUGUAGUUGAUCUGCAACCUGUGGGGACCCUCCUGCCACUGUCCCCCAGCACAUGGUCACAGGAACAAUGCUACACUGCAGCAUCAAAGAAGAUUACAAAUUCGGGGCCUAAACAACAGAAGGAAGGAACACGCUAAUCACCAAGAUUUGGGAUAGUCUGGGGCUGGAGAACUGGCUCGGUAUCUUGGUGCUCCUCCAUGGGGACCCAAGUUCUGUUACCAGCACUCACCUGGCGGCUCACAACUGCUGUAACAACUCCAGUCCUAGGGCUUCCGACACCUUCUUCUGACCUUCAUGGGCACAGCAUGCAAGUGGUACACAGACAUGGUGCAGACAAAACCCCCGGACAUUGUAACAUGUACCCUUCCCACCAGUUUGGGUCCCGCCACUAUCUCAGCCCCCAAAUAACACAUGAGACACUAUUAAUCAUGAAGCUGUGGGCCGUUUGCUUGGUUUCUUAUCUGCUAGCUCUGACUUAAUUAUUAACCCAUAGCUGCUAAUCUAAGUGUUUCCACAUGGUCUUCUCUUACCGGAGAAAGGGUCCACACCUCUUACUCUUCUGGUGUCCUACAUGGUGAGUGACCAUGCCUCUGCUCCUGGACGAGUCCCCAGAAUCCUCCUCGACUCCUAGUCCCACCUAUCUUGCUUCCCUAUUGGCCAACAGUGCUUUAUUUAAUAAACCAAUAAGACAGCAUAUACGCAGAAGGACUUCCCCAAU